GAAAAGAGAUCAAAUUGGGUUAGAGUCAGAGUUAGGGUUAGGCCCUUAGGGUUACCCCAGCCGGGCCGAGCGAUUUUUUUUUAGACGAGGUUCUGACUUAGCCCCUGGUGCGAAAGUGGUCUGUUAGUACGAGGCUCGCAGCGCAGCUUUGAUUCUCGGUAGUCAAUGGACAUGUUACAACCACGAUUUUGACGGGGCACCAGUUUUGAACGUCACGUCGGCUGAACGUGGUUUUCUUGGCACAAAUCGACUUCAAAUAUAUUGGACGACAGAGUGUGCAAUUGGAGAUUGGCAACAUCCGGGACCUUUGGGUCAGAGUUCAAAUGCGGAAGGGCCACAUACAUAAGUUUUCUUGAGCAAGGAACUAACAUACAAUUGCCUCAGUAUGUCAAUCUGUCUAAUCAAUCUGUUCAAGCAGCAAAGAAGAAGUGACAUAUAGAAAGUGACUACUGAUAGUGUUUCGAUUGUAUGGUAGUAUCAUAGAAAAUAUCAUGGCAAGUACUUAUCAUCUGCAGUAACCUAGGCCCUAAGGGCCCUUGUAACGAAAAAAUAUGUAUGUAUGUAUGUAUGUAUGUAUGUAUGUAAUUAUA